UACGAAGGGGGCUAGCGUUGCUCGGAAUCACUGGGCGUAAAGGGUGCGUAGGCGGGUUUUUAAGUCAGAGGUGAAAUCCUGGAGCUCAACUCCAGAACUGCCUCGAUACUGGAAGACUCGAGUCCGGGAGAGGUGAGUGGAACUGCGAGUGUAGAGGUGAAAUUCGUAGAUAUUCGCAAGAACACCAGUGGCGAAGGCGGCUCACUGGCCCGGUACUGACGCUGAGGUGCGAAAGCGUGGGGAGCAAACAGGG
rnacentral:rRNA from 1 species